AAGAGUUUGCCGAAUUCGUCCAGAGGAAGCCGAGCUGCUUGUUAUAGAGCUUUUGGGGACAAAAGUAGACGAUCCGGCAAUGAGCACCAAGCUUCGCCGUCUUCCAAGUAAUACUAACCAGGACCACCUCAGUAGAAGGAGGCCCUAGGGGGCAAAACUUGAAUACCAUCAACUCUAGAGAUAGGGAUGGCAAUUUUUCCUGCCCCGUCUUACCCCAAUCCCCACCCCGAUCGGGGUGAAUUUUGGGGGAGGGGGUUCGGGGCGAGGAGCAGAGAUAAAAAAAAAUCGGGAACGAGACGGGACGAUUUUGUGUAUCCGAUCCCCGAUCCCCGCCCCGAAUUAUAUUAUUUUGCAUUUUUACUCUUACUAUAAUACUAUAUUACUAAUAUACCUAUAUUAUAUAUAUUCUUACCAUUUAAGGAUUUUACCUUUUUUAGAACAAAGACAUUUAUUAUUUUCAUUAAAUAAUUUAAAAUUUGUAUUUAUUUAAAGAGACCAGAUUUUAAUUUAAUUUUUUUUUCAUUUUCAAAUUUUUAUACUUUAUUGUUUUUUUUUCAAAAGAAAAAAAAAUGGAUCAAAAUGGAUUUUUAGAUGAGGUAUCCAUUAAAAACGAAUUUGGAUUCAUAUUAACCUAAAUGGAUUUACAAAUUACAAGUUCAAAUUGUUUUUAAAUUUUUUGUAAUCAAAUUGUAUAAUAUAUGGGCCUAUAUUAUAUAUAUAAUAUAUUCUUACCAUUUCUGAUUUCUCUCUCACUGUCUCACAUGAUCACAUCACAGAUCACACAAACGAUUCACACGCCACCUUGAUGAGUGACACAUAUACACAUGUUGACUACAAUUUAGACAAAAAAUAGUAAAUCUCACUGUUUAGACCAAUUAUUCUAAAGUUAGAACACUACUGGGAUUUUCUCUAAGAGCACUAGAUAUUUUGUUAGCUUAUAGAUGGCUAGUGAAAUUGCUAGUAGCUGGUACAUCAUAAUCAGGUUACUUUCAAUGAAGUUGUGGAAUAUUAUGUUGAAGGAGAUAGUACACAUAUAUCUAAAAACUUAAUUAAUUAAUUGAUCAUUUGAAAUUCUUUAAUAUUCUUUUAAGACCCGUAUUGUCUGAAUUUUUUGGCUAUGAAUUUUUUAGCUAUGCUUCGACUAAAAAAAAUUAUUUUUUUUUUGUCCAUAUGACCUAUUUUUUUGGUCGUGUUUUUACAUUUUUAGUGUUUUUUUUUUAAAUUUUAUAAAAAAAUUAUAUUUUCAGACUCGAAUCAAAAAAGUAUAAAAAUUUUGAUUAAUGCUAAAAAAGUUUAUUAAAAAUAAAAAAAAAAAUCAAAAAUCAAAACAGUUAAAAAAAUUUAUCCCAAACAGGGUCUAAAUCGAACAAAAAUACUUUAUUACUCUACCCAAUCAGAUAAAAUCAAUUAAUAUUGUAGGGAAUUUCAACUAUUGCUAGCCUAUAGCUAGCAAAUUGCUAGUACGAAGAGAGAUGGGAUGUUACCCCUCACACGGUCCUUGAUCUAUCGGUUCUUGAUCUCACACGCUACACCUCUCUCACGCACGGUACACUUCUCUCUCUGUCCAUUCUCUCUAACUCUCACACGAAUCAAGAAGAGAGAUGGGAUGUUCUCUGCACAAAAAUCAUUUACGAUAAAAAUUAUUAAAUUUUAAAUAAAAACACAAUUAUCAUUGCAAUGAGAGGGGACAUUUUAUUAAAGGCAAACGUAAAGGGCGGUUAUUGUAAUUUACCCAAUAAUCAAUCCCAAUAAAAAAGCUAACAUUUGCUUAUCUAAGCAAACAAGUCAUCAGGUCCCUAUCCCUCUUAAAUAAGGCCACAAAAUUGGUGACCUCAACUGCUAAAUUGUGCACAGCCACACAUGGGAAUGGACCCCUAUGAACUAUUCUCUUCCAUUUUGAUUUGCAAAAUCUAAAGAGCCUUUACCUUCACACCCUCACCCUCACCUCACAGAUCUACCUCUCGUGUCAUGUUUCCAAACCUAGGAAUCAUAGAGCUGUAAACCGAUCAUGUCUCCAAACCUAGAAAUCACAUAUCUACCUCUCCACUCCGAACUCCAUCCAACACCGUCAUGGCCAAAACCCCUAGCAACUCCGCUCAAAAUUGGAGUCGAUAGUUGCACCCGUGGACGACUAGCAAUGAUUGGCCAAAAGUGGUUUUGGAGUAGGGGAAAGUGAUUUUCCAGCCUAUGGACGGUACUGAUGGCAUUUUUCUGGCGGGGAAUAAGGUAGAUGAUUGGUGGCUCCAGAGAGAAGAAGGAGAUGAGUCUUCAAAGUAACCCGACAUCCAAAAUCCAAAUUUGAAGCGAACGAACUGAACAAAUUUCGAGUUUUCGAUGGCCAGAUCUGAGCUUUGGCAGUUCAAAAUUUGAGAUCCACAAGUCUAUGAGUUGUAAACUAUUGAGUUUUUGUUUGAUUCUCCAUUAUAACGGAGUGUAACGCCCUUACAGCGUAUAAAAUGGCGCCCGAUGUUACUAUUACGUAAUGGCCGUUACAGCCCAA
rnacentral:lncRNA from 1 species